rnacentral:rRNA from 1 species
AUUAAGUCAAAUGUGAAAUCCCCGAGCUUAACUUGGGAAUUGCAUUCGAUACUGGUUGGCUAGAGUAUGGGAGAGGAUGGUAGAAUUCCAGGUGUAGCGGUGAAAUGCGUAGAGAUCUGGAGGAAUACCGAUGGCGAAGGCAGCCAUCUGGCCUAAUACUGACGCUGAGGUACGAAAGCAUGGGGAGCAAACAGGAUUAGAUACCCUGGUAGUCCAUGCCGUAAACGAUGUCUACUAGCCGUUGGGGCCCUUGAGGCUUUAGUGGCGCAGCUAACGCGAUAAGUAGACCGCCUGGGGAGUACGGUCGCAAGACUAAAACUCAAAUGAAUUGACGGGGGCCCGCACAAGCGGUGGAGCAUGUGGUUUAAUUCGAUGCAACGCGAAGAACCUUACCUGGCCUUGACAUACAGAGAACUUUCCAGAGAUGGAUUGGUGCCUUCGGGAACUCUGAUACAGGUGCUGCAUGGCUGUCGUCAGCUCGUGUCGUGAGAUGUUGGGUUAAGUCCCGCAACGAGCGCAACCCUUUUCCUUAUUUGCCAGCACUUCGGGUGGGAACUUUAAGGAUACUGCCAGUGACAAACUGGAGGAAGGCGGGGACGACGUCAAGUCAUCAUGGCCCUUACGGCCAGGGCUACACACGUGCUACAAUGGUCGGUACAAAGGGUUGCUACACAGCGAUGUGAUGCUAAUCUCAAAAAGCCGAUCGUAGUCCGGAUUGGAGUCUGCAACUCGACUCCAUGAAGUC